GGACGAACGCUGGCGGCGUGCUUAACACAUGCAAGUCGAGCGAGGUCCAACCGGUGGCAACACCGGGGAAGACCUAGCGGCGAACGGGUGAGUAACACGUGAGAAACCUGCCCGAAGUCCGGGAUAACCCGGGGAAACCCGAGCUAAUACCCGGAUACCCCCUUUCUGGUCGCAUGGCCGGUUGUGGAAAGAAUUUUGCUUCGGGAGGGUCUCGCGGCCUAUCAGCUUGUUGGUGGGGUAACGGCCCACCAAGGCAUCGACGGGUAGCUGGUCUGAGAGGACGAUCAGCCACACUGGGACUGAGACACGGCCCAGACUCCUACGGGAGGCAGCAGUGGGGGAAUCUUGCGCAAUGGGCGAAAGCCUGACGCAGCAACGCCGCGUGCGGGAUGAAGGCCUUCGGGUUGUAAACCGCUUUCAGUAGGGACGAAAUUGACGGUACCUACAGAAGAAGCCCCGGCCAACUACGUG
rnacentral:rRNA from 1 species